rnacentral:rRNA from 1 species
UUAAGUGACUAAGCGUACACGGUGGAUGCCUAGGCAGUCAGAGGCGAUGAAGGGCGUGCUAAUCUGCGAAAAGUGUCGGUAAGGUGAUAUGAACCGUUAUAACCGGCAAUACCCGAAUGGGGAAACCCAGUGUGUUUCGACACACUAUCGUAUGGUGAAUACAUAGCCAUACGAGGCGAACCGGGGGAACUGAAACAUCUAAGUACCCCGAGGAAAAGAAAUCAACCGAGAUUCCCCUAGUAGCGGCGAGCGAACGGGGAACAGCCCAGAACCUGAAUCAGUUCUUGUGUUAGUGGAAGCGUCUGGAAAGUCGCGCAGCAAAGGGUGAUAGCCCCGUACACUAAAAUGCAUUAAUUGUGAGUUCGAUGAGUAGGGCGGGACACGUGACAUCCUGUCUGAAUAUGGGGGGACCAUCCUCCAAGGCUAAAUACUCCUGACUGACCGAUAGUGAACCAGUACCGUGAGGGAAAGGCGAAAAGAACCCCGGCGAGGGGAGUGAAAUAGAACCUGAAACCGUGUACGUACAAGCAGUGGGAGCACCUUCGUGGUGUGACUGCGUACCUUUUGUAUAAUGGGUCAGCGACUUAUAUUUUGUAGCAAGGUUAACCGUAUAGGGGAGCCGUAGGGAAACCGAGUCUUAACUGGGCGAAUAGUUGCAAGGUAUAGACCCGAAACCCGGUGAUCUAGCCAUGGGCAGGUUGAAGGUUGGGUAACACUAACUGGAGGACCGAACCGACUAAUGUUGAAAAAUUAGCGGAUGACUUGUGGCUGGGGGUGAAAGGCCAAUCAAACCGGGAGAUAGCUGGUUCUCCCCGAAAGCUAUUUAGGUAGCGCCUCGUGAACUCAUCUUCGGGGGUAGAGCACUGUUUCGGCUAGGGGGCCAUCCCGGCUUACCAAACCGAUGCAAACUCCGAAUACCGAAGAAUGUUAUCACGGGAGACACACGGCGGGUGCUAACGUCCGUCGUGAAGAGGGAAACAACCCAGACCGCCAGCUAAGGUCCCAAAGUCAUGGUUAAGUGGGAAACGAUGUGGGAAGGCAUAGACAGCCAGGAUGUUGGCUUAGAAGCAGCCAUCAUUUAAAGAAAGCGUAAUAGCUCACUGGUCGAGUCGGCCUGCGCGGAAGAUGUAACGGGGCUAAACCAUGCACCGAAGCUGCGGCAGCGACGCUUAGGCGUUGUUGGGUAGGGGAGCGUUCUGUAAGCCGUUGAAGGUGAACUGUGAGGUUUGCUGGAGGUAUCAGAAGUGCGAAUGCUGACAUAAGUAACGAUAAAGCGGGUGAAAAACCCGCUCGCCGGAAGACCAAGGGUUCCUGUCCAACGUUAAUCGGGGCAGGGUGAGUCGACCCCUAAGGCGAGGCCGAAAGGCGUAGUCGAUGGGAAACAGGUUAAUAUUCCUGUACUCGGUGUUACUGCGAAGGGGGGACGGAGAAGGCUAGGCUAGCCGGGCGACGGUUGUCCCGGUUUAAGCGUGUAGGGGGNAACCCUGAGGCGUGAUGACGAUGCACUACGGUGCAGAAGUAGUUGAUGCCCUGCUUCCAGGAAAAGCCUCUAAGCAUCAGGUAACAUCAAAUCGUACCCCAAACCGACACAGGUGGUCAGGUAGAGAAUACCAAGGCGCUUGAGAGAACUCGGGUGAAGGAACUAGGCAAAAUGGUGCCGUAACUUCGGGAGAAGGCACGCUGGCGCGUAGGUGAAGAGACUUGCUCUCGGAGCUGAAGCCAGUCGCAGAUACCAGCUGGCUGCAACUGUUUAAUAAAAACACAGCACUGUGCAAACACGAAAGUGGACGUAUACGGUGUGACGCCUGCCCGGUGCUGGAAGGUUAAUUGAUGGGGUCAGCCGCAAGGCGAAGCUCUUGAUCGAAGCCCCAGUAAACGGCGGCCGUAACUAUAACGGUCCUAAGGUAGCGAAAUUCCUUGUCGGGUAAGUUCCGACCUGCACGAAUGGCGUAAUGAUGGCCAGGCUGUCUCCACCCGAGACUCAGUGAAAUUGAACUCGCUGUGAAGAUGCAGUGUACCCGCGGCAAGACGGAAAGACCCCGUGAACCUUUACUAUAGCUUGACACUGAACAUUGAGCCUUGAUGUGUAGGAUAGGUGGGAGGCUUUGAAGUGUGGACGCCAGUCUGCAUGGAGCCAACCUUGAAAUACCACCCUUUAAUGUUUGAUGUUCUAACUCGGCCCCAUAAUCUGGGGUGAGGACAGUGUCUGGUGGGUAGUUUGACUGGGGCGGUCUCCUCCCAAAGAGUAACGGAGGAGCACGAAGGUUAGCUAAUCACGGUCGGACAUCGUGAGGUUAGUGCAAAGGCAUAAGCUAGCUUGACUGCGAGAGUGACGGCUCGAGCAGGUACGAAAGUAGGUCUUAGUGAUCCGGUGGUUCUGAAUGGAAGGGCCAUCGCUCAACGGAUAAAAGGUACUCCGGGGAUAACAGGCUGAUACCGCCCAAGAGUUCAUAUCGACGGCGGUGUUUGGCACCUCGAUGUCGGCUCAUCACAUCCUGGGGCUGAAGUAGGUCCCAAGGGUAUGGCUGUUCGCCAUUUAAAGUGGUACGCGAGCUGGGUUUAGAACGUCGUGAGACAGUUCGGUCCCUAUCUGCCGUGGGCGUUGGAAGAUUGAGAGGGGUUGCUCCUAGUACGAGAGGACCGGAGUGAACGCACCACUGGUGUUCGGGUUGUCAUGCCAAUGGCACUGCCCGGUAGCUAAGUGCGGAAAAGAUAAGCGCUGAAAGCAUCUAAGCGCGAAACUUGCCUCGAGAUGAGUCUUCCCUGGGCCUUUAAG